GAUGGCAGCAGAGAAGGCGCGCCUUGCCUGAUCCCUCAGCACGCUCCCACCCAGUUGCCCCAAGCCAGCCCCGCUCUGCUGUUCCCUCUGGACUCAAGGAGGCUUGGCAGGUUGCAGGCAUCACUCCGGGGGUCCGUCAUUCCAGAGUAAAAAAGGGCCCGUCAUCCUGACCAGGAGGCCCAUCAGUGGGAGGCCCAGCCAGACCUCCAGAUCCUCUCCGCCUCUACCCCUGACGAUCGCCGUCUGACUAAUGGACACCUGCGCGCCAUGGAUCCUGGCUCUCGACAGAGUGGUGUCCUUUAUUCUAAGCAUUAGACUCUCUGCUGUUGCACCCCUGGACUGGACUAUUCCUCAAAAAGUUGCCCUUUCUAUUGUCUGUUGGGUAAUUGUUAAGCUGUUUUACUGUGCUUCCCUGUCUCCCCUAGCUGGACCCAAGUCUCAGCCUGCAUUUCCCAAGUACUGUGAUCUCUGGGAGCUACUCCUUUCCCCGGGUGGGAUCUCCUAGGCGGAGCAGGCUGCCCCUUUGCCGAUCCCUGCGCUAGCUGGGCUCAGCGUAGCCGGAUCAGCUGUAGUGGGCACAGCGGCUGUAAUAAACAGAGGAGGUCGAUCAAGAUUGAGAGCAGCUUGAAACCGCCAUGAUUCAGCUGCAAGAUCGGAUUGAUUCCCCGGCUGAAGCGGUGUUACAAGACCGUAGAGGACUGGACCUCCUGUUCAUGUCACAGGGAGGCUUAUGUGUAGCCCUUGGAGAAGAUUGCUGUUUUUUAUGCAAAUAAGCUUGGCAUAGUUAAGAGCUCUCUAGCCAAAGUAAAAGAAAACAUCCAGCGUAGGAAUAAAAUGUUAGAAAAUAAAAAGUCUUAGUUCCAGGGAUGGUUUGAAUAGAA